UUGAUUCUUGGCUGACACUCAUUCAACGCCCGACGCUCCGUCGACGCACACACGCUCACUCGACACGCUAACGCUCCCACGAUUCACUUGUUGCACCAAACUCAACAAGCAAAAUGGAUAGACGAAUCAUCCUCACCUUAUUCGUGCUGUCAGCCGUGAUGCUGGUGACCGAGUCGCUGCCCUUGAACACCAUCCCUCGUCCUCCUUACUUCCCAGGAAAACUACCACCCAGAGGAGGUCAUUUGUUCCCUCCCACGUGCGUGUGCGUCAGGUCUCCGUGCCCCUGUGACCAAAACUGGGGAUGACUCUAAAAGACUAAAACUCUUUCAAUGAAUUUUGCAACAUAGGAUAAUUCAUUCAAUAUGUACGCCGUCAGUGUGGCAAUAUGAUUCAUUUGGAUCUCUCUUGAUAAAAUGUGUAAUAUAUAUAGUGCUUUAAACUCUCAAAUUAAAAAUGAAUAUUAA